UGAGAGAAGAAAAUUAACAGUUGGAUAGAUGAGCCGCGCGCCUUUUUUUUUUGGCGGACACACCAUCCUCCACAUCUGUCUUAACAGUCAUUCACGGCAGAAGCUUAAUCUACAGGAGCAAAAGGAGCAGGGGCAAUCCAGAUGCAAUACAUAGCCGUGCGAAUAUUAACCGCCCUAGAC